GAUGAACGCUGGCGGCGUGCCUAAUACAUGCCAGUCGAGCGAACGGACGAGAAGCUUGCUUCUCUGAUGUUAGCGGCGGACGGGUGAGUAACACGUGGAUAACCUACCUAUAAGACUGGGAUAACUUCGGGAAACCGGAGCUAAUACCGGAUAAUAUUUUGAACCGCAUGGUUCAAAAGUGAAAGACGGUCUUGCUGUCACUUAUAGAUGGAUCCGCGCUGCAUUAGCUAGUUGGUAAGGUAACGGCUUACCAAGGCAACGAUGCAUAGCCGACCUGAGAGGGUGAUCGGCCACGCUGGAACUGAGACACGGUCCAGACUCCUACGGGAGGCAGCAGUAGGGAAUCUUCCGCAAUGGGCGAAAGCCUGACGGAGCAACGCCGCGUGAGUGAUGAAGGUCUUCGGAUCGUAAAACUCUGUUAUUAGGGAAGAACAUAUGUGUAAGUAACUGUGCACAUCUUGACGGUACCUAAUCAGAAAGCCACGGCUAACUACGUG
rnacentral:rRNA from 1 species